UCUUCCACAAUGGACGAAAGUCUGAUGGAGCAACGCAGCGUGAGUGAUGAAGGGUUUCGGCUCGUAAAACUCUGUUGUUGGAGAAGAAAAGGUGUCAGAGCAAAUGUUGACAUCUUGACGGUAUCCAACCAGAAAGCCACGGCUAACUACGUGUCCACAGCCGCGGUAAUACGUAGGUGGCAAGCGUUGUCCGGAUUUAUUGGGCGUAAAGCGAGCGCAGGCGGUUUUUUAGGUCUGAUGUGAAAGCCUUCGGCUUAACCGGAGAAGUGCAUCGGAAACCGGGAGGCUUGAGUACAGAAGAGGACAGUGGAACUCCAUGUGUAGCGGUGAAAUGCGUAGAUAUAUGGAAGAACACCAGUGGCGAAGGCGGCUGUCUGGUCUGUAACUGACGCUGAGGCUCGAAAGCAUGGGUAGCGAACAGG
rnacentral:rRNA from 1 species